rnacentral:rRNA from 1 species
GAAUCCUGCCAAGCAGAAUGACUAGAGAACUCGUAACGAACCCAAUGGGGACGGCGGGAUUUCUCCCAUCGUCCCUCGACGCCGGGAUUGCACGGGCGCCCAGAGCGCUCGGGCUUUUCUCGGCGGCACAACGAACCCCGGCGCGGAACGCGCCAAGGAACUUGAACAAGAGAGCGAUGCUCCCAUCACCCCAGACAUGGUGCGUGUGUGGGAUGCCAUCCAAUCUCCUAUUUAUUCAUAACGACUCUCGGCAACGGAUAUCUCGGCUCUCGCAUCGAUGAAGAACGUAGCGAACUGCGAUACUUGGUGUGAAUUGCAGAAUCCCGUGAACCAUCGAGUCUUUGAACGCAAGUUGCGCCCGAAGCCACUCGGUCGAGGGCACGUUUGCCUGGGUGUCACACACGGCGUUGCCCCUAAUCCCUCGCCCAAUUCUUUGGGCGGGUUACGACUCGGGUGCGUAUGUUGGCCUCCCGUGACGACUUAGUCCCGGUUGGCCCAAAAUCGAGCGCUGGAGCGAUUAGCGCCACGACAUUCGGUGGUUGAUGAGACCCCAAUGAUCAAUGUCAUGCGUGUCGCUCCUGCGUCCGCUCCACGAAUCUACUCUUUUACCAACGCGAC